UACGAAGGGGGCUAGCGUUGCUCGGAAUCACUGGGCGUAAAGCGCACGUAGGCGGUUUCUUAAGUCAGGGGUGAAAUCCUGGAGCUCAACUCCAGAACUGCCUUUGAUACUGGGAGACUUCGAGUCCGGGAGAGGUGAGUGGAACUGCGAGUGUAGAGGUGAAAUUCGUAGAUAUUCGCAAGAACACCAGUGGCGAAGGCGGCUCACUGGCCCGGUACUGACGCUGAGGUGCGAAAGCGUGGGGAGCAAACAGG
rnacentral:rRNA from 1 species